rnacentral:rRNA from 12 species
AGAUUAAAACUUAAAAGUUUCGCUAUGGUUACAUUAGCAUAUAAAUAAAGGUUAUAAAGUAAUAUAAUUUCCCAGUUUUAUUAACCGUUAAAAGAUGAGUUUGUGUAAGAUUAGGUUGUUGGUAGAAAUAAUAGUUUACCAAGCCUUUGAUCUUUAGUUGGUCUUAGAGGACGUACAACCACACUGGAACUGAGACAAGGUCCAGGCUAUUUUUAGCCAGCAGUGAGGAAUAUUGGACAAUGAACGAAAGUUUGAUCCAGCAAUAUUAUGUGAAUGAUUGACGGCUAAUUUUUGGUUGUAAAGUUUUUUCGUUAAAAACGAUAAUGACGUUAUUUAAAGAAGUUUUAGUCCCGGCUAAUCUCGUGCCAGCAGCCGCGGUAAUACGGAGGGUGCAAGCGUUGUCCGGAAUCAUUGGGUGUAAAGGGUGCGUAGGCG